rnacentral:pre_miRNA from 1 species
GUUACCAGGCCCUGAUCCCAAGCCUGUUGAAGUCAGUGGGGGUCUUUCCAUUGACUUCAGUGGGCUUUGGGGCAGGCCUAUAUAGC